UCAAACUCCUGACUUCAGGUAAUUCGCCUGCCUCGGCCUCCCAAAGUGCUGGGAUUACAGGCGUGAGCCACUGCGCAUGGCCAUUCACUUCUUAAUACCAUAACAUUGGUGACACCUGAAUUUUGGAGGGGACACAUUCAAAUCAUGUUACCCAGUCUCACUGGAUGAAUGCUAUCUAAGAUGAGCUGGAUGCUGUCACGGCACUUGGUGCAUGGUCAUUUCUUUUCCUUGAAAUUAUGAUGCGCUAUCUUUAGUCUAAAAGCACUGUAGUCUCAGGUCCUUUGGGAUAAGAUAUGGUGUCUUUUGAAAGUGAGGAGGUUGAGCCUGGAUAUAUUGGCUUUGGGCUUUCUGCUUGUCCCUUCUAAUACAUACUUGGUGUUGGGUGUGGUUUUCCUUUUGGGGUAAUUUGGAUUAUUGCCACUCAAAGUGUGGUCCAUGUACUAACAGCAUGGAAGAAUCUCAGGCCCAAGACCCACUGAAUGAGAAUCUGCAUUUUAACGAGAUCCCCACGUGAUUUGUAUGACCAUUACAUUUUGAGAAGCACUGAUGUGGAUGAGUAGGUCUUUUUUGCUCUUAUGAUAAAAAUUAGUUUGUCACUAUAGAGAAAGGAGGAACUUGUAUAUGACAUUAUUAUAGCUGGUCCUGGAGGAGAGUCAUGGGUGCAAUGUAACUUGUUGGGGCUUCAGAGGUUUCAAGUAAUGAUAAUGAUUUCCUUGUUUUAGACUCGGGAUCCCUCACUCUAACCCUUCACCCCCUUCUCCAGUUAGCUCUAGCAGUUGAAGGAUAUAUUGUUCUUGUAGUUGGAAAAACCCACUGAUUAGUUUGUUGAAAAGAGAUAGAUUUUAGAAUUUCUUGAGUUAUUUUUAUCCCACUAAGUGUUCUGUAACCUACCUCCUUCCCAUUUUGGGGAGAUCAUUUUGUUUAUUAUUAUUUUUUUUAAGAUGGGGUCUUGCUGUAUUGCCCAGGCUGGUCUCGAACCCCUAGGUUCAAGCUGUCCUCCUGCCUCGGCUUCCCAAAAUGCUGGGAUUACAGGCAUGAGCCACCAUGCUCAGCCUUGGAGUUCAUCUUAAUAUUAAGUUCAGAUAAUCAUGUCAUUUUUGUCUUACUGGACUCCAGCUUCACUCUUUUUUUUCCAGAAGGGGAUUACCUGUUACAUUAUGUUUAAUACAUGUUUGUCACAAACUUUCUAUUUGAGACCCACUUUUAGUAGCUUUCAGCAUAGUUUGAAGUCUUUUUGACAAGUAAAUUUACAGAUUAUGGCAGUUAUUUCAAUAUACAGAAUUUUUGUAUCUUGAAACACUUGAAAGUGUAAAGCACCUCCUCAUAACUUGAGUAUUACUAUUUUUCCAUUUGGCCUGUGCUACUGCAAAAUGAUAUGCUAGUGCAUCAAGUGGGAUUAGAAAGAAAAAGAAGAUAGCUGCUCUUUCUAUAGUUGAUAGUGUAAAGAACUAGAAGAGGAAAAUGUAAAGAAAAACAGUCUGCAACUUUAAAUGACUAUAUUUGAGGUUUAUCAAAAAGAUAAACUGUUUUUUAAUAAAUGAGGCACCUGCAUUAUCAAAAUGAUUUAUUAUUUGUAAUUGGAAUUAUCUUUUCAUCCAGACUUUGGUAAGAGGUGGUUAGAUUAUGCCAAAAAGUGAUUAACAUUUUAAAAAAUUGAGAUAAAAUUCACAUAACAUAAAAUUCACCAUUUUAAUAAUUUUAAAGCAUACAGUUUUGUGAUUUUAGUAUAUUUACAAUGUUGUGCAACCUUCACCACCAUCUAAUUCCAGAACAUUAUUCACCCCCAAAAGAAUCCCUGUGCCCAUUAAGCAGUAGUCACUCUCUGUUCGCCUUCUUCCUAGAUGCUGGUAACCACUAAUCUGUUUUCUGUCUCUAUGGAUUUUCUUAUUCUAGACAUUUUAUAUAAAUAGAAUUGUACAAUCUUUGUCGUUUUGUGUUUGUGUUCCUUCACUUAGCAUGUUUUCAGGGUUCUUCCAUGUUGUAGCAUAUAUCAGUACUUCAUUUCUUUUUGUGGCAGAAUAACAUUCCAUGUGUGGACAUGCCACGUUUUGUUAUCCUUUCAUCAGUUGAUGAACAUUUGGGUUGUUUCUACUUUCUGGCUACUAUGCUGUUGCGAACAUUCAUGCACAAGGUUUUAUAUAAGCACAUGUUUUCACUUCUUUUGAGUAUUUGCGUAGGAGUGGAGUUAUUGGGUCACGUGGUGACUCCAUGUUUAACAAAAAUGAUUUUUAAAAUAACGAUGACUGAAAGAUACUGUCCCCAAAGUUUUCUGACCCCAAAGAAAUUAGUCUUAUGAAUAUAUAAACAAGUUAAGCCCUAAAAUUACUUGUUUUCUUUGGCAUUUUGUCUACUAUAUGAGCUGCAGUUGUGUUGCUCCUGUUUCUUUUCACACGCAAGUCACCAUUUUGGACAUUUCAGAAUGGAACCCCUCUAUCUCCUGGACUGUGAAUUUGAUGGUCCUUUGCUGUAUUAUUUUAUGAGUUACUUCUGGAGCAUCAAAAGUCCUCUCUUAAAAAAAAAUCUUGUGGGUACUUAAUAAGAGUUGUAUAUGCCCAAAAUGUGUUUGCUCCUGUUGUUGAAGGAGGUUGUUUAUUAUCGUUGUUGUUAUAGUGUGUUAUUGAAUAUAGUUUAGGAACUCAAGUAGCUUAGUUACCUAAUAUAAAUACUAUUGGCAGGGGCGGCGGGCGGCCCGGGGCUGCGCGGGGGCGGGGUGCCGCCUCCCUGGGCCUGCCUGGGCAACCGCCUCCGCGAUGCCGCUGCUUCUUGAGGGGAGGCGAGUGCGGCUGUCACAGUCCUCGCCCACGCUGCUGCGUCCGAGCCCACUCUCCUUUGGAGGAAAGAGCCAGACUUCUCAGAGGUCAGUCUCUUCAAGAAGUGGGACCCCAGGGCCUUCUGUGUGUUCAGCAAAGAGAGCUUGCAGUGACCUCCCCGAAGAAUGGCUCCAUCUCCAUUCUGGGUUCUGAUGAUGCCACUACUUGUCACAUUGUGGUCCUGAGGCAAACAGGUAAUGGGGCCACCUGCUUGACACAUUGUGACGGAACCGACACCAAAGCUGAAUUCCCCUUGAUCAUGAACUCCAUAAAAUCCUUUUCCGACCACGUUCAAUGUGGAAGGCUGAAAGUGCACCUCGUUGGAGGCUUCAGUGAGGACAGGCAGUUGUCACAAAAACUCACUCAUCAACUUCUUAGUGAAUUUGACAGGCAAGAAGAUGACAUUCACUUAGUGACAUUAUGUGUGACAAUUAAAUGACUGGGAAGAAAACGAAAACCACUUUCCAAUAAUCUAUGGCAUUGCUGUCAACAUUCAGACUGCAGAGAUUUACAGAGCCUCCUUUCAAGAUCCGGGUCUGGAGGAGCAGCUGCGUGCCGCGCCAACUUUAGCAGGAGGACCAGUGAUUAGCAUUUACGAUGCAGAGACAGAACAACUUCGCAGAGGACCGUACUCCUGGACGCCAUUUCCACAUGUGGAUUUCUGGUUGCAGCAAGAUGACAAGCAAAUGCUAGAGAAUCUUUCUACUUCACCUCUGGCUGAGCCGCCCCACUUUGUUGAAUUUAUUAGAUCUACCUUGAUGUUUUUUUUAAAAAAUACCCAUCUCCAACUAACACACUGUUUCCUGGAAAUAAAGCCCUACUCUACCAAAAAAAAAAAAAAAAAAAAAAAAAAAAAAAAGGAAUUACUAGGUCAAAAGAUAAGAAAUUAUUCAAAUGGAUUCUGUGUGCUACCAGGUUGCUGUGGUCUGAAUGUAUCCCCAGAAUUCGUGUUAGAAACAUCAUCUCAAACACACCAGCGUUGGCAGAUGUGGAGUCUUUUGGGAGGUGUUUAGGUCAUGAGGGUAGAGCCCUAUUGAAUGGAUUAUAAAUAAAAGGGCUUGCAGAAUUGGGUUUUCUUACUCUUGCCCUUCUGCCUUCCGACUUCUACCUUCUGUCCACAUGAUGACUCAGCAAGAAAGCCCUCACCAGAUGCUGAUGCGUUAAUCUUGGACUUCCCAGCCUCCAGAACUGGGGAGAUAGUCUGGACACAGGGAAAACCUGAGACCAGGUUUUUAUCCAUUCUUUAAUUAAAUAAUUAAAAGAGAUAAACAAAUUUGCUUUUAUUUCUUUAACUUUUACUUUUUGGCUUUCCAUUCAUCCUGUGACCUUGUUGAUAUUUUAAAUGUUGGUUUUAUCAUCUUCAGUAUUGUCUGUUUCUCAUAUGUGUUAUUUCUGUGUUUGGCACUUUGCUUUGGGCAUAGUGCCACUUGUGUGUGCCUAAGGCUGGAUUUGUGUCCUCAUGGUAUUAACUCUCAAGUCAGGGACAUAGACAUAUUUCUGUAAGCAUACACAUCCUUGUUUUGUGCAGACUUUUCUUUCAUGCUCAUGUUUCUUUUCCUUUUGUUUGUAGCCAGACAUUUUGGACCCAAUGUCUAUUUCUCACUAGUGAUGUGGAUUCUGCAGUUUGUUUUCUACCCCAGCUUUCUACCAAAGUUGUUCUUUUCAUGGUUGUCACUGAUUUCCUACCUGUUUUCAUUGGUUGUUUUCUUAGUUUUCAUUUUCCUUGAGCUUUCUACAGUGAUUUAAGACCAUUGAUUUCCAUUUUCUUUGUAAUAACCUCUCAUUAGUUCUAUGGCCCAGUUCUGUUUCUUCUAUUCAGUGUGUUUUUUUUUUUGUUGUUGUUGAUUUCUCUCUUUUCUCCACUUAGUUGUAGACACUUCUUUUUUCUUUUUUUGAGAUGGAGUCUC